rnacentral:lncRNA from 1 species
ACACAGUUCCCUUUCUCGUCUCGUAGGAUCCCUAUAUAUUUUUUUUUUGAGGGGAUAGGAUCCCUAUAUUGAGAAGAUCAAUCAUGGCAUGCCUUCCCUCCUGAACCUCAUAGCUGACCCGGCCGAUUCAUUGAUGUUGAGGGCACAAGAGGCGUGUCUUGUUCAGCAACUGGGACGGAAAGCAGAUCAAUCCCCACCCCCGAUUCACAGAAACACAAGGUAAAUACUAGUACGACUUGAAGAUUUUGCCUCCUCCCCCCUUGGUUCAGAUCUGUCCCUUCUAUGAUUUCUGAUUACUCCUCUCUUGUGUGAAUUUGAUAGUGCACACCAAGUGUUUGAUAGUUGUCCUCUGUUAUUGGUUUAAAAUUUUGGGGGCCUUCAGAUAGAGGGGGUUGUUUCUGAUUCUUCUUCUAUAAGGUUACACAUUCCCUACUCGAUUGACAUUAGCUUUUUAGCUUUUAUUCAUUAUAGUGCCCUGACGCUUGUUUGUUUUGGUGUUCGUAGGUCUACUGAACAUAAGAGGUGGCUUAAAUCUGGUAACUGUUAGGGUGUCAGGUGUGGACGCGUACAAUAUUUCAAUCUAGUUCUGCACCAUUACUACCUUGGUGAGUUCAAUCUCUUCAUAGACCUUCGUUGUGGAACUCCAAUUCUGACUAUCCUAUUGUAGUUGGGUAGUACCGUUGGGUUAGUUCUUGCCUAACAUUGCGGUUGAACACCUAGCAUAGUUUCUUUCUUUCUUCGUGUGUGCACAGACGAUUUGUGACCUUGUUAUUUUCUUAUUGCUAUCAUACUGUAAUCUGGCCGGGGUGUCGUUUGUAGAAAAUAAACGAUGAAGUGUCUAGAAGAAAGUGUUAUCUUGGUCGUACCUCUGAACAAGUUGCACUAAGUAUCUUUUCGACUAGUCAGGACCCAAUAAAAUGUUAAUUUUAUCCAGUCUACAGAACGACAAACUUGUUCUGAAAAUAAAUAUUAGUGAAUAACCAUGUGCACGAUAGUAUACUCUGCAACACACUCAGCCUUGGCCCAUGGGAUCUCCUCACAGUUCCAACAUGAAAAUAACAUAUCAUCAGCCUAGCCAUAAUGCUUGUGCAUGAACGAAACCUCCUUAACACCAAAGAGAAUAAACUCGGGUGUCCCUGACCUUAUGCUCCUCUUACUAUCUGUGGAUAGUGUUAUACCUGAACAUGUGUUCCUGCCAGCAAACACCAAGUUAAGCACCAUAUACCACACAAGUACAAGUUCAUCUUCCCUAAGCAACUGAAACAGAUCGACAGUUAAACCACUAGUAUUGAAAGACAACCGCAUUUUAUUCAUAGAAUGUUCCCAGCAAAGAAAAAACUAAAAAACAUGGGGUCAUCAGAAGUGCUGCUACAUGGAGUUUCCUUUUGUUACUUGCUGCUUUUCUUAUACACCCGAUGAACAAAAUAAUGGACCCCUUGCAAAUUUACAUUUCAGAGUAACGGUUUCAUGUCUUAGUUCAUCGUUUUCACUAUGAAAUAGGAAUAGCUUGAUGUAUUCCUAGUAGAGUACCUACUCAAUACUGAAUGAGUGUUGAUAAGGAAUAAAUGUGGUCAGACUUUUUUUUGGUGAUUUUAGGGGCAGAAAUUACUUCAAAAUAUGAUUGUUUGAGCUGAAAUCUCAAUUAAUCGUCUUCACAUCUGUCAUGUUGCAGAAGAUAUGUCAUGGACAAGAAUUUAUUGUCAUGUUUGAGCUGAAAUAGGAUCACGGAAUAUUGUCUUUUACAUAAUUUAUUAACUUUUGGUCAUUGUCAUGUUGCAGACGAUAUGUCAUGGACAAGAAUUUCAGUGCAUAGCAAGGGGAGAUAUAUUCUCCUGCACAAAGGUAUAUUUCCAUUACGAUGUACAAUAUGUUGAAAAUAUGUUGCUCCAGUGGUUAUGUAUCCACUGGUUAUCUUGCUAUCAGAAUGCUGUUCAAAACAGAUAAACUUUGCUUGAGAAUGUGAGUGCAUGUCAGGGAGAAAAAAAUUCUGUUGCAAACAAGCUGGUGUCUUUUCAUAAUCGCAUACAAAUUUUGUGCAAACUAUAGUGCUAGCUUGUUUAUUUGGUUAUUACUUCUUCUUGGCUAUCAGGCUGUUGUCGAGACCAAUAAAACAACAAAAGGUGCUAAUGCAUGCAGUAAGAGUGCUCGAAGUGGUUCGCUGAGUUGGAUGGAUGCCAAUGAACUACCUGUAAGUGUGCUCAAAUUCAUUUCAUAUGUUCCCCUGUUUUGUUUCUCUCUUCUCAUAUGAUAACUUUUAUUUUCUCUAACAGGCAGGAACUAAAGUAUUCUUGAAGAGCCUGAAAAAUCAUAACAAGGGCGUAGCUUUAGCUACAAUGGUAAGUUCUGAUCCUAAAUUUAGACUUGAUGGUCCUGAAAUUAGAAAUGAAUUCUGGGCAGUGCAUGUCGAUAUGGCACUCGUGCAAACUGAAAAUUUGGUAUGAAGUUGCAAAACGUGUGAUACUCUUGGUGAUGCAGAAAAAGCAAAGAUUGCAUGACCUUCAACCUUUGUACGUGACUAAUAUUUUGCCUAUAUUACUACUUGCAUCAUGCCAAUGCACUGUGUGUUAACAGUUCAUUUUGUUUUCUUGUUUGUAGAUUCAAAAGAUAAAUGGAUGAGUAUAUGGGAGCGUGGCGAUUAUAGUGCAAUGAUGAUGUCGCUCUUCCGUUUCAUGAUGAUGACGAUGGAUGCUUUUAGUUUUAGUUAUGUUGUAGGGAUGACGUUCCCGUCGGGUGUUGUUCCUCAGUUAAGAUGGAUAUUUUCAGUUUAAGUUUUGCUGUUAAGAAAAUUGUUAGAUUAUGCAUCACAUUUGGAUGAUGUUCCUCCUGUAAUAUCCACUAUUGUAAUCCAACAGUUUUGUUCUAAUAUACGAUUUCUUCCUGCCGUGAGUAUAUUGUCUUGUUUUUCCUUC